UCAUUAUAGUGUCUUGUAAUGAAGACGUAUAAGUAUGUCGUAUACGUAUUACAAUGUAUUGUCAUGUUAUUCAUAUAUCAAUAUGUAUAUGAUUGGAUUGAAUUACAAUACAGUUUGGCAGGUGUAAGACUUUUCUGUUUGUAACAAUUGAAGUUUUGCAAUGGCACUCUUCCUCUGCUCAAUGACUGUUCUUCUGAUACGGAAUCCUUUCACCUGCUUGGGCAAUCACAAUAAAUUACAGGAGGGAGAAAUUUGGACAUUGGACAAUUUAUCUAGUUAUCAUUGAAACAUUAUUACAACAUUUCAAAGUAAAGCUCUUCAGAUCAAUGAAUCCUCCUGCUGUUCAUAAUUUCUUUAGGUGUUUAAUUGUUUGAUGUGUAUCUAAUUAGUUAAUUGCACAAGCCACAGCUUUGCUGAGAAAGUUCAUGGGAAUCAUGUUUAAAAGGUGAUUUCAGUGAAUUUCUAUCUGUUCUCUAACCUGUUGGAUUUGUAUUGAAACAGUAAGAGGUUAAAGUGCACAGUCAUCUGUCAUUUUUGGGUAUUUUCAUCUAUAAACUUUGAACUGUUUAGGAAUUGCAGUCUCUUUUAUACACAGUACCCACAUUUUCGAAGAGCGAAUGUAAUUUGACAUUUAACAAUCCUAAAUUCAUCAGAUAGCUGCCUGAAGUCUUCGACCCCUAGACAUCACAAGACUCUGGGUAUCUUCUCUGGUGAUGAUCUGCGAAGCCUGGACUGCAGCCAUCUUCACUUCCUGUUUGUUUCGGAAAUGUUUUUCCUUCAGUCUUGACUUCGGCAAGUGAAACACACCCAAUUUGAUUCAGGUUGGAAAUCCAGCUAGCAUGUGUACUUUUACUUCCUUACAUCCUUAAAUUCACCCCUGCAGAAUAGUUCUGGAAGUCUCUGAAUAUAUAACUGUUAUUAUAUUGCAUGAGAAACAAAUCCCAUCCCCUUAAACUUUGGGUAAAUCAGUUAUUCAAUUACCAAAAACAACCACUAUUUUGAUGUUUUUGGAUCGUCCAACAAUCUAAUGGCGUCGUUAAAAAAAACGGUCUAGAAAAUCUCCUUGUUUAUAAAAGUAUUUGUUUUAUGUCAUAUCACACAAUCAAAAUUGGUGGAUUGACACAUUUUUAUUUAGAUUUUUGCAAAUAGAAAAAUGUUAUCCACUUGAACCUGCCAACUAAGGUUGAACACAUAUUUCAGAUGUAUAGAUGAACGCAGUUUGUGUGGCCUAUGACCAAUGUUAAAGACUUUAUUAAAGAUGCAUGCAAAAUAUUUUCACUUUCCUUGAUAAAUCUUAACAUAAUUAAUCAAAUUAUUAAAAUGUAAUAAUUAAUGACCUUUUGACUAAAGUAAAGGUUGUACAAGUAGGUCAACUAAUAUUCCAAUAAUAGGCAUGCAUACAGUGGUGUGUAUACCAUAAUUUACAAAGUUAUUAAAGAUGUAUGGCAUUUUUUAUGGAAAUAAAUUAUUAAUGAAUAAAUAAAUGUUCCCCUAAAACAAAGGUUGUUCAAGAAGGCCAGCUACAACUAGACAACUAUGCAUCAACGUUGAUGUGUCUAUGACCAUGUUUGAAAUAGAAUACCACUGAAUUUAAUGACUUUGGUCAUUAAUGGUUGUUAAUAAAAGAGAUCUUGUUGUUUUGUGAUACAAAUGUAAUUAGUAAAUGUAGUAGUUGUGGUAUAGUGAAAUGCCCAUUUAAACGUCAAUACAAACCUUUUUG
ensembl:lncRNA